AUACUAAACUGGCAGAUUAAAUACCAUGGUCACAGAUGUGGUUUUCCAAGAGCAAUGCUUACUUAUUGCACUCUAGAUGUGCUGACCCCUGCAAUCUUCUCUAUUGUGGAAAACUCGUCAUCAUAAGGGGGAACUGUGUUUAUGUUCCCCCU
rnacentral:snRNA from 1 species